rnacentral:rRNA from 1 species
AUUGAACGCUGGCGGCAUGCCUUACACAUGCAAGUCGAACGGCAGCGGACCUUCGGGUGCCGGCGAGUGGCGAACGGGUGAGUAAUAUAUCGGAACGUACCUUUCAGUGGGGGAUAACGUAGCGAAAGUUACGCUAAUACCGCAUAUUCUGUGAGCAGGAAAGCAGGGGAUCGCAAGACCUUGCGCUGAUUGAGCGGCCGAUAUCAGAUUAGCUAGUUGGUGAGGUAAAGGCUCACCAAGGCGACGAUCUGUAGCGGGCCUGAGAGGAUGAUCCGCCACACUGGAACUGAGACACGGUCCAGACUCCUACGGGAGGCAGCAGUGGGGAAUUUUGGACAAUGGGCGCAAGCCUGAUCCAGCCAUGCCGCGUGAGUGAAGAAGGCCUCGGUUGUAA